rnacentral:rRNA from 1 species
UACGGAGGGUGCAAGCGUUAUCCGGAUUCACUGGGUUUAAAGGGUGCGUAGGUGGGCAAGUAAGUCAGUGGUGAAAUUUCCGGGCUUAACCCGGAAACUGCCAUUGAUACUAUGUGUCUUGAAUACUGUGGAGGUCAGCGGAAUAUGUCAUGUAGCGGUGAAAUGCUUAGAUAUGACAUAGAACACCAAUUGCGAAGGCAGCUGGCUACACAAAUAUUGACACUGAGGCACGAAAGCGUGGGGAUCAAACAGG